GACGAACGCUGGCAGCGUGCCUAAUACAUGCAAGUAGAACGCUGAAGCUUGGUGCUUGCACCGAGCGGAUGAGUUGCGAACGGGUGAGUAACGCGUAGGUAACCUGCCUGGUAGCGGGGGAUAACUAUUGGAAACGAUAGCUAAUACCGCAUAAGAGUAGAUGUUGCAUGACAUUUGCUUAAAAGGUGCAAUUGCAUCACUACCAGAUGGACCUGCGUUGUAUUAGCUAGUUGGUGGGGUAACGGCUCACCAAGGCGACGAUACAUAGCCGACCUGAGAGGGUGAUCGGCCACACUGGGACUGAGACACGGCCCAGACUCCUACGGGAGGCAGCAGUAGGGAAUCUUCGGCAAUGGACGGAAGUCUGACCGAGCAACGCCGCGUGAGUGAAGAAGGUUUUCGGAUCGUAAAGCUCUGUUGUAAGAGAAGAACGAGUGUGAGAGUGGAAAGUUCACACUGUGACGGUAUCUUACCAGAAAGGGACGGCUAACUACGUGCCAGCAGCCGCGGUAAUACGUAGGUCCCGAGCGUUGUCCGGAUUUAUUGGGCGUAAAGCGAGCGCAGGCGGUUAGAUAAGUCUGAAGUUAAAGGCUGUGGCUUAACCAUAGUACGCUUUGGAAACUGUUUAACUUGAGUGCAAGAGGGGAGAGUGGAAUUCCAUGUGUAGCGGUGAAAUGCGUAGAUAUAUGGAGGAACACCGGUGGCGAAAGCGGCUCUCUGGCUUGUAACUGACGCUGAGGCUCGAAAGCGUGGGGAGCAAACAGG
rnacentral:rRNA from 1 species